UACAGAGGGUGCAAGCGUUAAUCGGAAUUACUGGGCGUAAAGCGCGCGUAGGCGGUUCGUUAAGUUGGAUGUGAAAUCCCCGGGCUCAACCUGGGAACUGCAUUCAAAACUGUCGAGCUAGAGUAUGGUAGAGGGUAGUGGAAUUUCCUGUGUAGCGGUGAAAUGCGUAGAUAUCGGGAGGAACACCAGUGGCGAAGGCGGCCACCUGGACUGAUACUGACGCUGAGGUGCGAAAGCGUGGGGAGCAAACAGG
rnacentral:rRNA from 1 species